GACGUAGGGCGCGAGCGUUGUCCGGAUUUAUUGGGCGUAAAGAGCUCGUAGGCGGCUUGUCGCGUCGAAUGUGAAAUCUCAGGGCUCAACUCUGACAUUGCAUUCGAUACGGGCAGGCUAGAGUUCGGUAGGGGAGACUGGAAUUCCUGGUGUAGCGGUGAAAUGCGCAGAUAUCAGGAGGGACACCGGUGGCGAAGGCGGGUUGCUGGGCUGACACUGACGCUGAUGCGCGAAAGCUAGGGGAGCGAACGGG
rnacentral:rRNA from 1 species